GUAAGAAAGAAGGUAAGGGAAUAAAGAAGAAGAUAGAAAUUGAGAAGUAAAGAAAUUUAUGAUGUUAGAUGAUAUUAUGCAUAAUUAUCCAUUAUGUUGAAUGUUGUGAUUUAUUUGCUUGUAAGUUUACAGUAAAUAAAUGCAAUAUUCUUUUAUUUUACAUUAUUAUUGUCAAUUUCCAGCAUUUAUAUAUUUAUGUUAUGAAAAUAUUUAAAGUCGAAUUUAAGGUGAAGUGACAGAGGAAAAGUGUUAGAAAGCCCCGGUUGAACCCUAGGAAUGUUAGGAUAUUAGGGUUGAUAGGACAGAACGAAAUGAGCCAUGUAAGUCCAUAUUAGAAAUAUGGCUUUGGAGACAGGAUUGAGCCAUGUAAGUCCAUAUUAUAUAUGGCAUUGGAGACAGGAAUAAUUCAUGUAAGUCCAUGUCAAAGACAUGGCAUUGGCAGGAUAUUGAUAGACAGGAACGACCCUAGUAUCCUUAGUAUUCCGAGUGGUUCAACGGGUCAGGAUACGAGUUAAAUUACAGUGAAUUAACAGCAAAGGAAAA